GCCCUAUGUCACCAGGUCUGGAAUGGAGUUCUUGUCCUGCAUGAGGACCUAGCGUGAAAAUAACAAAAAGGCCUUUGUACCAAGGCCCAUUGGUAAAUUGGGCUACUCCUCACAUGGGAGGGAGUCAUUACCUGCUUGUCACCUUGGCUGCCAGGUCGCAUCUGGCAGGCUUCCAGAAGCUGCUUUCUGCUAUGCUGUUGGCAUCCAUGCCGUAGUUAGAUGACCUGGGAUUCCUCUCCACCCACCACGGCCUUUGUCAGGUUAGGAGCCUGGCUACAGACAGGACAUACAGAGAGUGGCGUUGUUGCUGUGUCUGUCCUAGCAGAGCCACAGAGGCCUGUGGGCUCUGCAAGAAAUCACAACUCCUUUGUGUGAUUGGGAGUUGGUGGGGCUGAAGUCCAGCAAGGAGGAGGUGACGACACACUAUUGUUCACGCUUUCGGAGCAGUCUGCCUGCUCCUUAGUACUUGAGGGAGUGGGUAAGUUGGUUGAGUUUGUUUUUCUUUGGAAAACUGCAUGGCGUCAAGAAGCAGUCCAUCUUCUAUGCUUUAAAAAAAUGGAGUACCUAAGCCAGGUAUGGUGGUGCAUGACGGGAAUCUCAAGUACCAGGGAGGCUGAGACAGGAAGGUUCCAAGUUGGAGGCCAGCCAGCCCAGGCUAUUUAACUAGCCUUUGUCUCAAAAUAAAUGAAUAAUAAAGGUCUUGGGCUGGAGGUGGGGUUAGCCCAGAGGUAGAGUAUGUUUUUAGCAUGCACAAAGCCCUCGGGUUUGACCCCAGCACUAGUGUGGGAUGGAAAGAAGGGGAAGCUACGCAUGGCAGUGCCUCUGUAGUCUCCGCUACUAGAGAGGCUAAGGCAGAAGGAUUGCUCGAUCCAAGGAGUUCCAGCCCCACCUGAGCAACAUAGCAAGACACCAACUCAAAAAAAUAAAACGCUUCUUUCCAUUUGCUUAAAAGGAGCCCCGGUACCUUUCUCCUUGAAGCUAAUCACUGUCAGAUACUACAAGGGCCAUGGUCUCCUCCACCCCAGGGACAGACAUAGAUUAAGUCUCUAAGGCCGGAGGAACGGAGGCCACCUUCAAAGCCAGGCAUCUGACUCAGGAGACCAGGCUCAAGACCACUGGCCUUAAUUGCAUCUUCUCUGAACCAGUAAGGUAAGGCCUUGAAGCCAAAGGUGCAGUGGAGACCCCAGAAGUCUGGGGGAGCCAGGAAUGUCAUUGGUCUGGGGAAAAUUGCAAGGAGGGAGCAAAGCCAGCCCAAGAGAGAAGCCAUGGGAGCUACAACCACCAGAAGUCCCAUAGGGGCGGGGCCACCCAAGUUCUUUGGAGCCCACAUCUUGUCACAGAUUGCUGGGGAUGCUGCACUGCAUGUGGAACUAUGGGGCUUAGUUUGCCCUGCUGGAUUUUGGACUUGCUUUGGACCCAUUCCUUUGUAUCCCCCUGUUUGUACCAUUUGGAAUGGAAAGGUCUAUCUUGUGGCACUGACUAUUGGAAGUAUUCAACUUUCUUUUCAUUUGUAGAGGGGCUCACAGCUAAGAGUCUUUCUUAAAUCUCAGAGGAGUCUUGGGACUUGGGCUUUUCAGCAAGGCUGAAACUGUUAGGACUUUGGCAACUUUUAGAGAUGGACAAAAUGCGUUUUGCAUAGAGGAAUGUACACGAGCCUUCAGGGGACCAAGGGCAGAAUGUUAUGGUUUGUGUCUAGAUUUCCCCCCAAUGCCUCUUGUGGUCAUAGGUGGAGGCUUUUUCAGAGGUGGCUGAAUCUAGUGUGUGAUGCUGGGAUUAAGGGCAUGUGGUUAGUAAAUCAGUCUACUGAUUGGUUUGGUACUGCCCUAAUCCCAGUAGCCUGGAUAGAAUAUAAAAAGGGGCAGAAAGAAGCUGCUAAGGUCACUAGUUGGUUCCCUUGUUUGCUUUGCUACCUUCUGCCCACCGUGUACUGUUUCCCCACUGCGAUGCCUGUCUGUCAUUCACCCUGCCUUGGAGCCAGCCAGUUAUGGACUGAAACCUCAACAAACUGUGAGCUAAAUAAACCUUUCCUCCCUUAACUUGUGGAUGUUGGGUAUUUUCACCCAGCAAGAAGACAGGUAACUAAAACAGGCCUCUUUUUUUUCAUAUUAAAAGCUCUUCAAGUAAUGUAAAUUUUCACUGGGUCACAGUUCUAAAAGCCCUCCUUGGAUGCCUGUGUUUACCCAUCACUCCUUGGUCAGUUACCUGCUGUCUGCCUCAGAUUGCCGUGGAAACCAAAGGGAUCACAGAGGCCUUUUCAGAUACAGCGUGGACUUCUCACUGCGGGCAGUCUGGCUUGGGAGGAGGCAUGAUGCCCUGAACGAGUGAGCAGCAAUGUGCCGUGGGCAGUGGUUGUGUGCCCCAGCGGAUGCCACAGACCAGAGAGACAAAGGGAGUUAGAGGAGCGAGAGUCCCCCUGUGCAGGUGGCCCGUCCCUGAGCAGGCUGUGAGGGUCCCGGGACAGGAAGAUCAGAGAAGAAGGAGGACGCCCCUCACUCUGGACUUCUGGUGAAGCUUCCUGUGCCAGACAGCGCUGGACACUGUGAGGGUGCAGCCAGGGUGUCGAGAGAGCACAGGAAGAGGGACAUGGUGGUCCAUGAGAGCUGGUGCCAGCCUGCCUGGGGGGUUUGCAGACAUGUGGGUCGGGGCAGGGCAGCCAGGAAAAGCAUACAGAAAAGCGCAGGAAAUGUAUGUGUCCCAGGGAGAUGGGAGAAUGCCUGGGAUUGGGGGAAAAUUUUUUUUAAUAAAGAAACAACAGCUGAGUGUGGUGAAGUAUGCCUGUAAUCCAGGCAGUCUAGGAG
ensembl:lncRNA